rnacentral:rRNA from 3 species
AGGUCCUGCCUGCCCAGUGACUAUGUUAAACGGCCGCGGUAUUUUGACCGUGCAAAGGUAGCGCAAUCACUUGUCUUUUAAAUGAAGACCUGUAUGAAUGGUGGAACGAGGGCCUAACUGUCUCCCUUUUCAAGUCAAUGAAAUUGAUCUACCCGUGCAGAAGCGGGUAUACAAAUACAAGACGAGAAGACCCUUUGGAGCUUAAGAUUAAAAAUCAACUAUGUCAAAUAUUCAUCAAAUAAAACUAAAUAGCAACUGAUCAUAAUCUUCGGUUGGGGCGACCACGGAAUAAAAAUAAACUUCCACAUGGACUGAGGACUAACCUUAAAACCAAGAAAGACAUUUCUAAGUCACAGAAUUUCUGACCACACAGAUCCGGCAAAUUGCCGAUCAAUGGACCAAGUUACCCUAGGGAUAACAGCGCAAUCCCCUUUUAGAGUUCCUAUCGACAAGGGGGUUUACGACCUCGAUGUUGGAUCAGGAC